rnacentral:rRNA from 1 species
GAUGAACGCUGACAGAAUGCUUAACACAUGCAAGUCAACUUGAACUUCGGUGUGUUUGGCGGGCGCGUGAGUAACGCGUAAAUAACUAACCUCACAGCUAGCUACCACUUUUUGAAACGAAUGCUAAUACCUCAUAGUAUGAUAUUAGGUCAUCCUAGCAUUAUGAAAGCUAUCGUCGCUGUGAGAGGGCUUUUCGUCUCAUUAUCUAGUUGGAGAGGUAACGGCUAACAAAGGUGAUGAUGGGUAGCCGGCCUGAGAGGGUGAACGGCCACAAGGGGACUGAGACACGGCCCUUACUCCUACGGGAGGCAGCAGUGGGGAAUAUUGGACAAUGGACGAAGAGUGUGAUCGAGAAAUCCUGUGUGGACGAUGAAGUUUUUCGGAAUGUAACGCGUUUUCAGUUGGGAGGAAAAAAAUGACGGUAACAACAGAAGAAGUGACGGCUAAAUACGUG